ACCUGAACGAGGAGGAGACCAUCCUCAUCAUCCGCCGCCUGCACAAGGUGCUCCGGCCCUUCCUGCUCCGGCGCCUCAAGAAGGAGGUGGAGGCUCAGCUCCCGGAAAAGGUGGAGUACGUGAUCAAGUGUGACAUGUCGGCCCUGCAGCGGGUCCUGUACCGGCACAUGCAGGCCAAGGGGGUCCUGCUCACCGACGGAUCCGAGAAGGACAAGAAGGGCAAAGGCGGCACCAAGACCCUGAUGAACACGAUCAUGCAGCUGAGGAAGAUCUGCAACCACCCCUACAUGUUCCAGCACAUCGAGGUGGGGCCUCCCCAGGACAGGGAGAGACCAGGACAGGGAUAAAAACAUCCUGGGAUGGAACAAAACAGGGAUAAACCAACCUGGGAUGGACCAGAACAGGGAUAAACCAACCUGGGAUGGACCAAAACAGGGAUAAACCAACCUGGGAUAGAGCAAAACAGGGAUAAACCAAGCUGGGAUGGAC